UCAGAACUCUCACGUUCUCCAAUAGCUGGGUAAAAUAACUUGCCACAACCUACUUUAUAGUAAAGUGUCAAACAUCUCGUGUAAUUUAUUACUGUUUUGAAAGUGAAAACAGGAUGGUUAUAUGACUUCCCAAACUGCAGAUUCUACUUGACAAUAUGCUUUUGCACCCUUUAAACACUAAAAUUUUAAGUCAAAUAAUCCCAAGUUGGAUGUGAUAUAUAUGUUCAUACACGAUAUCAUGUGUAAUUUUAUUUUUCUUUACCUCAUUUUCAUAAUCCAAGGAAUUAUCAAGAUGGUUUUAAAGGUUCAAAUGUGGAUUUCAACCCCAUACCCACCCCAGGGAGUGAAUUCUCUGGGGUCUAUAUGUGGCCAAUGCUCUCAGAGCCACUGGAGGUUGUGGGACUGGAGGUGGAUGUGCCCACUGCCUGCUUCCACGGGGUUAGGGUAUGUCUGUCAGGGGUAGGGUAGGGCUGUCAGUGUUAGGGUACAGUUGUCAGGGUUAGGUUAAGGCUCUUCAGGGUUAGGGUCAGGGCUGUUUGGGUUAGGGUCAGGGCCGUAGGGUUAGGGUCAGGGCUGUCAGGGUUAGGGUCAGGGCUGUCAGGGUUAUCAGGGUUAGGGUUAAGGUGCUCAGGGUUAGGGUCAGGCCCGUCAGGGUUAGGAUUAGUGCUGUCUGCAUGUGGCUUUCAGGAAUUUCCUGCCUCUUUGUCUCCUGGCACUGGAACCUGGAGAUAUACAAAGCCAGCUCUGCUGCCUCUGAGGUGUGUGGUGAGGUGAGCUCACCUGGGAGAGAUAUUCCCGAGGUGUGGCCCUGGGUUGUCCCCCACCCCGAGAGCAAGAGCCAGUGGGCCACUCACUGCAAAGGCUGGUAUGUCCAGUGCAUGUCCACCUGGACCUGCCAGCGUUCGCUCAGGCUGAGCAAGGCACCCAGGAAGCACCUGCUUGUCGGCCAAGCUAUGUGUGUCACCUUGAUGUCAGCAUUAGCCCUCUUCAUCUCAAGUUGAAAUCCUGCACUCAGAAGCAGAGGUGUGCACUGGCCCUGUUUCCAGUAGGUUGCUCCCACUGCAUGUUGCCUAGCUCUGUCUUGUAUGUUCUGAACAUACUGGGAUGACUCAUUUGGGCUCGGAGGACAGAGCCCUUGAUGGGUGCUAAUGGGCCAGGGGACACUGGAGGAGCCUCCCAGAAGACACAGGUGAGUAACCACUGUGCCAGGGCCCCACGGAGAAGACUGAAAAACCUCUGGAAACAGUCAGUGCAGAAAGGUCCCUGUGAAACAGCCAGCAGGAGACUAAUGAUGCCACUUUACACUAUAGGAGGCUGGGCGUUACAGGUCCAUCUCUGCACUCUGUAGCGUGUCCACAGAGGAAGGUGGUUGACCAGAAGCUGCCUGGCCCACCUCCCCAUGGACGCCUCAUGCCUCUGGGCAGGAGAGGCUAUUUCUGGCUGCAGGACAAGUAGACUGGAUUUCAGGCCUCCAAAAACAUCCGUGCAGACGGCACAUGUCCCCUCACCUCCGUGCCCAUCACCCAACAGUGGCAUGGUGGAGUGGCUCUAUUUUUGGAGAGCAGCUGGGGACAGUAUGAAUUGGUGUGGUCUUGCUAUUUUGGGAGGAAGAUUAAGGCAUUCCUAGCCUUGCUAGUGUCUUUCUUUUUUUUAGUCCUGUUCCACUGGCUUGUGGAAGAGUGUGUAAAACCCCUGAUUUCGGGGUUUGAAGUCCAGCUUGGAAUAAUUGUCUGAGGGACGUUUUGUUUUCCUGUGACAGAGGAUGGGCCAUUGCCCUACUGAUUGCAAAGGACUCCCUGUACCUUCUGGUCCCUCCCAAGCUCUCCCCACCUCUCGGGCCCACUGAGCUGGGGGAGCAGUCUGGCAUUCAGGAAAUUUCAUGGGGUGACCCAAUACCCACAGCUAAGCUCUCCCUUUCCAGCCAGCAAACUACCAGCUCUGCAGCAACUUCAGGCCCCGGUUUGUCUCCUGAGUGGGAAGCACAGGGCUGCUCCUGAUAGCCAGUGAGUCCUGAAAAGUCCUGUCUUUGGGCUUUGAGCCCAUCCUCCUCAGGAGCCCCACCAGAGUUUCAGAUGUGCACAAGACGCAACUUCCCAGUCGGACCCCCAGGGAGUUCGCUCCAGCAGAACCAGAUAGAUGGCUUCCCUGCCUGCCCAGCACAAAAAUAAUGGAAGAGAACUAUGUUCUUUCUUUUUUCUUUAUUUGUUUGUUUAUUUAUUUAAUGAGACAGAGUCUUACUCUGUUACCCUGGGUAGAGUGCCAUAGUGUCACAGCUCACAGCAACCUCAGACUCCUAGGCUCAAGCCAUUCUCCUGCCUCCUGAGUAGCUGUGACUACAGAUACCCACCACAACACCAGGGUAAUUUUUUACUUUUAGUAGAGAUGGGUUGUUGCUCUUGCUCAGGUGGGUCUCAAACUCUUGAGCUCAAGAGAUCCUCCUGCCUCCGUCUCCCAGAGGGCUGGGAUUAUGGGCGUGAGCCACUGUGUUCAGCUCCAUAUACCCAUAUUUUUGUUUCCUCUAUAUUAAAUUGGUGUUUCCUCCAAAGCCAGCCUCCUUGGUUCUCACAGGGAUCGACUUGUUUGGUGGAAGCUCAUGCAUUAGAGCAUUGCUCCUGGGCUCGGCACUAGUAGCUCAGCAGCUGAGAGUGCCAGCCACAUACACCAGAGCUGGAGGGUUCGAAUCCAGCCCAGGCCUGCCAAACAACAAUGACAACUGCAACCAAAAAAUAGCUGGGAGUUGUGGCGGGCACCUGUAGACCCAGCUACUUGGGAGGCUGAGGCAAGAGAAUCACUUAAGCCUAAGUGUUGGAGGUUGCUGUGAGCUGUGAUGCUACGGCACUCUACCGAGGACAACAAAGUGAGACUGUCUCAAAACAAAAGAGGGCGGCGCUUGUGGCUUAAAGGAGUAGGGCACCAGCCCCAUAUGCCGGAGGUGGUGGAUUCAGACCCAGCCCCAGCCAAAAACUGCAAAAAAAGAAAAAGAACAUUGCCUCUGAAUUUUAAGCAGUGUUUUUCAAUCUUUUUUAAUCUCACGGCACAUUUGAACCCAUUAAGACUUCCAUGGCACACUUAAAUUAUGUUGAUCAAGAAAAAAGUUAAAAAAAAGAAUAUAUUUACUAUGCUUUGAACUUUUUUGAAAAUAAUUUAAUUAAUGAUCUUUAAAAUUUUUCAUGGGACACCUAAGAUCCUCUCUCGGCAGACCAGUGUGCUAUGGCACAACAUUUGAAAAUCACUGCCUUAAGGGACAAAAUGAGUCUGUGGCAAGGGAGGACCUCAGGGGACUGAGUCAGGGGGAUAUGGAAGCUGGUAAGAUGUGGCUUCCAGGGGCCUGUGGUCUGUGCUGUGGAGGUGGGCAAUAAUACUGGGUCCUGCUUCUAUGACAUUGCUGUGGACAAGGCACCACGGAGUCCAGGGAGAGAAGGGUACAGGGCAUCCGGAUGGCAGAGACAGUGUGCAGAGGCAUGAACACGGGGAAGGGGUGGGUGUCGUUGUGGCUAGAGCACGUUCCCCCCCCCCCCCAGUUUCUACAUUGAAGUCUGUAUUCCCAAGACUUCAGAAUGUGACUUUAUUUUAAAACUGAGCCUUUACAGGGUAAUCAAAUAAUAAAGAGGUCCUUAGGGUGGAUCCUAAUUCAUUAGGGCUGGUGUCUUGAUAAGAAGGGGAAAAUUGGGUCACAGAGAUUGGCAAGGGGAAGAUGAAGGCAGAGAUGGGGGCAAAGCCCUACAGACCAAGCCCCACCUGCACCCCCAGAAGCUGAGAGAGGGACACAGAGGAGAUUCCCCCCAACUGCCCCCAGAAGAAAGCAACUCUGUGGACACAUGGAUUGUGGACAUAAAUUCUCCAGAACUGUGACUGGGUAGAUUCCUGUUGGGUGAAGUCCCCAGGCUGCAGCAACUUGUCACAGCAGCCCCAGGAGACCCAUAUGAGAGGAGAGGAAGAGGCCAUGUUUGAUCAUUUAGUUUUGCCUGAUUUACUUCAAAGACAUUAUCUUACUCUGUUUGGGAUGCCAGAGCAAAAUACCACAGAUUGAGCAACUUCAACAAGGGAUGGUUACUGCUCACAGUUUUGGAGGCUGAAGUCCAAGACGGCAGAGGCUGUGUAUGCUUGGAAAUAGAAGUUGUGCUAAAUUAGAGCCACGCAGCUUCUCUCCAGUGAUGAGAACAUUUGGAUAAUGCAGGAUUCUGAGUCGCACACCUGGAUUUCUCUGUGCUCUUUCUUUGAGUGAGAGGAAGUGGUUGUGACAAUAAGUCCUCCCAGAGAUAAACGUGGCUUGCUCCAGUGUUCCUGUCAGCACUUGAGGAAGGAGUACCCCAGCGCAGCCCCACUGCCGACUCUUCCCCCCAAAGCAAAAUGCCCCCUGGGCGCAUGGCAGCUGUUUCAUUACUUCUGGAAAUAACAUAGACUUAUUUAAUAAAUAGAAGAAUUUUUUAAUCAAGUCGUAAGACAGGAUGUAUAAACUUUAUUAUUGAUUACACGUUCGUAAACUCUCUCAAUACAGUAAAGUCGCUUCCUUCUCUCAGGUUUCUGUUGGGUAAUUUAAUGUCUAACUCUCACUUUAUAUUGUUUUUCCUUUUUUAUUACUUUAUAUUACAGUACAUCUUUGUAGCCACAAAUUGAAUAGCAUAAUUGCGGGUGGGUUCU